rnacentral:rRNA from 1 species
UACGUAGGGGGCGAGCGUUGUCCGGAGUUACUGGGCGUAAAGCGCACGCAGGCGGUCUGCUAAGUUUGGAGUGACAGUUGGUGGCUUAACUGCCAAAGUGCUUCGAAAACUGACAGACUUGAGGGCUUCAGAGGGACACGGAAUUCCGGGUGGAGUGGUGGAAUGCGUAGAGAUCCGGAGGAACACCAAAGGCGAAGGCAGUGUCCUGGGGAGUACCUGACGCUCAGGUGCGAAAGCCAGGGGAGCGAACGGG